rnacentral:misc_RNA from 1 species
GAAAUGCGAUAAGUAAUGUGAAUUGCAGAAUUCAGUGAAUCAUCGAAUCUUUGAACGCAGCUUGCGCUCCUUGGUAUUCCUUGGAGCAUGCCUGUUUGAGUAUCAUGAAAUCUUCAAAGUAAAUCUUUUGUUAACUCAAUUGGUUUCUACUUUGGUAUUGGAGGUCUUUGCAGCUUCACACCUGCUCCUCUUUGUUCAUUAGCUGGAUCUCAGUGUUAUGCUUGGUUCCACUCGGCGUGAUAAGUUAUCUAUCGCUGAGGACACUGUAAAAGGUGGCCAAGGUAAAUGCAGAUGAACCGCUUCUAAUAGUCCAUUGACUUGGACAAUAUUUUUAUGAUCUGAUCUCAAAUCAGGUAGGACUACCCGCUGAACUUAAGC